UACAGAGGGUGCAAGCGUUGUUCGGAAUCACUGGGCGUAAAGCGCGUGUAGGCGGUUUACUAAGUCAGGUGUGAAAUCCCCCGGCUCAACCGGGGAAGUGCGCCUGAAACUGGUAGGCUUGAGUAUCGGAGAGGGAAGGGGAAUUCCCGGUGUAGAGGUGAAAUUCGUAGAUAUCGGGAGGAACACCGGCGGCGAAGGCGCCUUCCUGGUCGAUUACUGACGCUGAGACGCGAAAGCGUGGGGAGCAAACAGG
rnacentral:rRNA from 1 species